CGGGGACCCGCACAAGCAGUGGAGUAUGUGGUUUAAUUCGAAGCAACGCGAAGAACCUUACCAGGUCUUGACAUCCCUCUGACCGGUCUAGAGAUAGGCCUUUCCUUCGGGACAGAGGAGACAGGUGGUGCAUGGUUGUCGUCAGCUCGUGUCGUGAGAUGUUGGGUUAAGUCCCGCAACGAGCGCAACCCUUAUGCUUAGUUGCCAGCAGGUCAAGCUGGGCACUCUAAGCAGACUGCCGGUGACAAACCGGAGGAAGGUGGGGAUGACGUCAAAUCAUCAUGCCCCUUAUGACCUGGGCUACACACGUACUACAAUGGCCGGUACAACGGGAAGCGAAGCCGCGAGGUGGAGCCAAUCCUAGAAAAGCCGGUCUCAGUUCGGAUUGUAGGCUGCAACUCGCCUACAUGAAGUCGGAAUUGCUAGUAAUCGCGGAUCAGCAUGCCGCGGUGAAUACGUUCCCGGGUCUUGUACACACCGCCCGUCACACCACGAGAGUUUACAACACCCGAAGUCGGUGAGGUAACCGCAAG
rnacentral:rRNA from 1 species